CUAUAACAUAUACUGAGUAUUGCGAUCACGAUGAUGAAAGGUGCUCAUUUCCCUGCUACAACUGCUGCUUUUGCCCUACUGGCAUUGGCAACCUUCCACCUUGUCUCUGCCUCUGAUCCUAGUUCUCUCCAAGAUUUCUGUGUAGCACUUAAGAACACUGAUGGUAUAUACUAUAUCGUACUGUGGUCACUAUAUUGCUUCCAAUAUAUGUUUUAUCUAGGAUUAAGUUUUGUAUUUUCAUGAAUGCAUGCAUAUGUUCUGAUAUGGUGUACGGUCCUUUGUAUACUGCAGUGUUUGUGAAUGGGAAAUUCUGCAAGGACCCAAAGCUUGUAACAGAAGACGAUUUCUUCUUUGACGGGCUCCGGAUGCCCGGAAACACAUCAAAUGCGGUUGGUUCCAAGGUCACCCCGGCGAAUGUGGAGCAAAUAGCAGGGCUGAACACUCUUGGGAUAUCCCUUGCUCGCAUAGACUAUGCACCAAAUGGCGGACUAAACCCUCCUCACACCCACCCUCGGGCCUCGGAGUUUCUUGUGGUCAUGGAAGGCACUCUCGUACGUUGGGCUUCGUCACAUCCAACUCUGACAACGGCAACAAGCUAUUCACCAAAGUGUUGUACCCUGGAGAUGUGUUUGUCUUCCCGGUUGGUCUUAUUCACUUCCAGUUCAACAUCGGAAAGGUCAAUGCCGUGGCCAUUGCCGGUCUUAGCAGCCAGAACCCAGGUGUCAUCACCAUAGCCAACGCCGUUUUCGGCUCCAAACCUCCGAUCAAGCUUGAUGUUCUCACCAAGGCCUUCCAAGUUGAAAGCAAUGUCGUUGAGUAUCUCCAGAACCAGUUCUGGUAUGACAACAACUGAGAACAUGCUAACAAUUGUAUCACGUACGAUACGAUGACCUUAUUUUAUCAUACAACACAUAAUCUAAGCUUUUGUAAAAAUAAGAUGGUAGUUGCUUAUAUGUAAUGUACCUCUUCCUUGAUCAGUGGAUUAUUGGAAUUUGAUUAUUAAUAAAUACUCGCAUCAUAUAAAGCGUUUUUGCGUCCUGUCUCUAAACCUCUUACAAUUUAAACAAUUCAUCACGAAGAGUUGGCCGUAAAUUUAGAAUUUAUCCUACAAAAAGCACAGAAGUACUUCUACCAAAGAUAAUCAAAUGAAAGGCUUCUAUAAGAAUUCUCAUUUAAUUGAGAUAGAUCAAAUCCCCAAACUGAGAACGGUUUUUACAGAUUCUGUAAGAUAUUUACAAUAUUAUCAUGAGGCUGCUAAACUGAUAACACUACACUACCUUUCUUUAGUAACACUACAGUACCUUUCCAAAUCCCUGAAAGAGUUGCAUUAUAUUCUAAGGCACUCACAUGCAUCCUGGAAGGAAAGACUAUAUGUACAUGUAUAUGUAACAAAAGAAAAAUAAAGAAAAAGAGAAGCCCUGAAGGUUGAUCACUCUUUCUGCCUACCUGAUCGAGGUUAGUUGUUACGUUGAAUGUAGAUGAGCUUAAUGGGGAAAUGUCGACUAGUUUAAUUACAAGUUGUUAAAAUGAGUGAAGAUUUCAGUAGUGAUAGAUUCAUAUUUCAUACAUUUUUAUACCCUUAGAUGCAGGAUUAUAUGCUUAGUUCUUGUCAAUUGUGAGUAAUUUACUUGUUAUGUUUUGUAGGUCAAGUUGGAGAACAAGAGAAUUUGGAGCUAAGUGAUCCAGAAACUACCCUGCUGUGCGUCAACUUUGAGGAUUAAGCUGUACCUGCUCACAAGAAAUCUGGAGGCGAGCCAUACACCAUUGGAAAUUUACGGAUGUUAGCUUUCUGAGGAAUUUUACGGAAGUGGAUUUGCAUUUUUCUAGAGCAAGUUAUGAAGGUUUCAGUGAACGCAGCGCGUGGAGGCAGAUUCUGACGAAUUUUGUGUUUAUUCUCAUGAUUCCAAUUUGUAAAACUUAAGUCCAUCAAUUUUUAUACUACAAGGAAAGGGGCUGAAUGUGUCCACAUAUUUGAAAGGUUACUCUUGUAUUGACAAUAAUAACAUUGUGUUAUUUGGAGAGAAGAUAACAAUUCCAUGUUGGACAAGAAGAGUCUGAAAAGCCCGAAUUAAUUAGAAUUUCAAGAGGAAUAAAAGUAAAACCUAGAGGAUGUUAAAAUACAACAGAGACGCAGCAAGAACACAGAGGAAAAGAAGAACAGAGCCUCACCAUCACUCAACCCGAGUUCCUAUCUCUUCCAUUGUUUCUUCCGUGCUAUCUUUAAUUCUAGUCAUAUUUUCUUUGAUUAUGAAUUUCUAAACUUUUAGCUAGGGCUGAGAUGAAGCCCCUAGUAUGAUUACUCUAUUUCUUUAGUUGAUUUGUUUUUGAAUUUAUGGAUUGCUAUGUUAAAUUCUCAAUCACUGUUUCAAUUGAACUUUUAUUCAAAAUCUUUGCUCGGGAUCAAUAAGACCUAGGUUUUGUUUACUAGUUAUUUGGUUUGAAAACAUGAGGUUUGAUCGAGAGUAGAUGUUUUCUAGGGUUCUAAAGGAUUUAUUUAAUUUUUUGAUUAGAGAGUUGUAAGUUAAGAAUACAAAUGCUUGAUCAUAGUCAAUAUUCUUGUUUACAUGAUUUUCUAGUUCUUUUGUGCUUAAUGGAGUUGAACAUGUUUACUUGAACCUGAUCAUAACGUGAAGUAGAUUAUAGUUUGACUACUUGAGUUUUAUACGGGAUCAAUAAGUUAGAAUUCAUUGGUUAGAAGAACUUUGGCAUAUGUCUGGGAUCAAUAAGACUUAUGUACAGAAAUCUUUAGCAUGCAAUCUAAGAAAUUCAAUUGCUAUCAACUAGAGAGGAGGGUAGGAGUAUUAGGUGGUGGAUUCAAUGCUUUAGCAUCUUUAUAAUUUGUUUUUCAACUCUUAGAAAUUUCAUUGUUCUUUUGUCUUUAAUUUCAGUUUUAUCACUUUAGUUUUCUAUUUUCAUUCAUCAAAAUCAUAAAAUCAGUGUGUUUAUUUCAUUAGGUGUAGUAUAAUUGAUAUAAUAAGUUGUUCUAAUCAAUGCAUAGAGGGAACAACCUCGUGCUUGCACUUCUAUUCUAUAAGUGGUUUGUGCAUUUGCGAGUACUAUAUUAAAACAUACAAUAAGUUUUUGACGCCGUUAGCCAUGGAUUGUGUUAAUUCAAUUUGAUUUGUCAGUUGUGCAAUACUUAAUUCUUGUUUAUUUUCUGUUUUAUUUUUUUUUCCUUUUUUUUUUCUUGUAUUAUUUUUGUUUGUUUUUUCUUGUAUGUUUGAAUUUGGGUUUAUGCAAGGUCGUCGAUCUCAGAACUUAGAUCUCAUUGUCUACGAUCCAGAGAUUGAACGAACUCGUAGAAGACUAUUGAGGCAAGGGCGAGCUCAAGCUCAAGUUCAAGGUGCAAUGGCAGAUGAGGAGACGAAAGCAUUGAAGGAGUUCACUGCUCCUACUGCACUCACAACAUCUUCUUGCAUCGUUGUGGCUCCUAUUCUUGAUGGAGUGCGUUUUGAGAUUAGACAAGCAACAAUUCAGAGCCUACCUAACUUUUAUGGGAAGACUAAUGAAGAUCCUUAUCUACAUGUGGAGGAAUUCAAAGACAUAUGUGAAACUUUCAAGUAUGGGAUAUCAGAUGAGCAUAUUCGUUUGAGGCUUUUCCCAUUCUCUUUGAAAGACAAGGCAAGAAAGUGGUUGAGUUCUCUUCCUUCUAAUUCCAUCGCUACUUGGGAGGAUUUGCUUAAGAAGUUCUUGUUGAAAUUCUUCCCUGCUACAAAGACCAAUGCUCUACAAACAGAGAUUUUUAAUUUCUGUCAACCUGAUGGAGAAUCUUUUUAUGAAGCUUGGGAGCGGUACAAAGAUUUGUUUGUGAGGUGUCCUCACCAUGGAUUUACUAAACCUCAGAAGGCUCAAUUUUUUUUUAUAGAGGUCUGAACUUCCAAAACAGAGGUAUGGUGGAUGCUAUAGUUAGUGGAAGCUUGAUGGGAAGGACAACAGAAGAAGCAAUUCAAGCUUUUGAGACUAUAAAUGAGAAUUCGCAGCAGUAUGAGCCUAGCUUAUGCUUCAGGUCCUAAAAGAGGAGGUCUUUAUGAGGUUAGUGCAAAUACCAAGCUAGAAGAGCAAGUUGCAGCUUUGGCAAGACAAAUGAAAAGCCUUACUCCUCUAUUAAACAAGGAUGCAAAGGAGACAUGUGUCUUGUGUUCUAGUUUUUCACAUACCACAGAAGCUUGUCCAAAACUUCAUGGUGAUGAGGAAGUCAAUAUGGUGAAUAACUACGGAAGGCCAAUGAAUAAUUUCUCUGGCAAUAACUAUAAUUAAUUCGGGUUGGAGACCACAUUCAAAUCGUUUUUAUAGCAACAACAAUCAUGUGCAGAUGCCAAGAAAUAAUCCUCCUAUUCAGAAUUAUCAAGGGCCAAGUGAACAAAGAAACCAUCUCUUGAAGAAACUAUGUAGCAAUUUGCACAAAAUCAGAUAGAAUUUCAAAAGUCCAAUGCUCAGAUGCUUCAAGCUAUUCAAGAGACCAAGAAAGAGCAGCAAGUUCAAUCUCAAGCUAUUUUUAAGUUGGAAGUUCAAGUUGGGUAGAUUGCCAAUGCUUUAAAUGAGAGAGAACAAGGGGGUUUCCCUAGCCAACCUCUUGUUAAUCCGAGGGGUCAAAUUGAGAAGCAUGAGACUAUGAAAGUUGUGAUCACGUUGAGGAGUGGAAAAAAGGUUGAUACCAAUGUUCGUGGCUCAAAAGAUGUUCAAGAAGAAGAGCAACAAGAAGAGUUCGAAACAGAGAUUGAUGAUACUGUUGCUAUCCUAGUAGCUAAUGAAUCAGCAGAGAGGAGCUCCGAAACCAUGAUUGAAGAGGUUAUUUCAAUCCUGAGCAGAAAAACUGAUUAGAAACCAACAACUUCCAGCAAUCCAGUGACGACUUUGAAGCCUCUUGUAGAGUCUCAAUUUGUUCCAAAACCUCCAUACCAGAGCUGCUUCAUAAGCCAAAGAAAGAUAGUCACUUGUCUGAGAUUAUGAAAUUAUUUCGUAAGGUGCAGAUCAAUAUUCCUUUGCUUGAUGUUAUUUAACAAAUUCCAGCUUAUGCAAAGUUUUUGAAAGAUUUAUGCACUAACAAAAAGAGAUUUAAAGACCAUGAGAAGGUGUUGUUGUCAGAAGAGGUUAGUGCAGUGAUUCAAAGGAGACUCCCUCCAAAGUUAAAAGACCCAUGAAGCUUUACUAUACCUUGCACCAUUGGUGAUCAUCACUUUGAGCGUGCUUUGAUGGAUUUGGGUGCUAGUGUCAACUUGAUGUCGUACUCAUUGUUUCUAAAACUAAAGCUUGGUGACUUGCAACCGACAUCCAUGACUUUGCAAUUUGCAAACCGCUUAGUCAAGCGACCGAAAGGAAUUGUGGAAGAUGUGUUGGUGAAGGUUGAUAAGUUCAUAUUGCCUGCAGGUUCUCCAAGCUCACAAAACAGCCAUUGGGAGGCCAUUGCAGACAUUAAAGGUAUUAGUCCUACAAUGGACCACCCAAUGGCUGUUUUGUGAGCUUGGAGAACCUGCAACAGCUUCUUUUCAUCAGUGCGUUUAUUUCAUUAGGUGUAAUAUAAUUGACAUAAUAAGUUGUUCUAGUACUCCACAAGGAUUUAAGUUUGUUACUAUUAUCUGUGCUGGCGCUGAGGGCCUUAGCUGAAACCAGCAUUCACUCUGUUUGUUGACAUAAAGUAUAAUUCGAAUAAGCUGCACAGAUCUUACAGUAUGUUUGAGUUAUGUCAAAAUACACUGCAAAAUAUUUUAGCAAUCUCUGUACUAUUGACUACCUGAGCGUUGUAUCUUUGAAGGCCCACAACUGGAGAUACAAUACUGUCAUCCAUACUAGGAGACUCAAAGUUGGCACUUCUACGAACCAAACAACCAAGCGAAAGGUAAGUCAAAAAUGCUGCUCGGAAGUUACUAUCAGGUAUCCUGUAAAUAGGAUACCAUGCCACAGAGUACCUGAAAAUCAUAUUGCACUUGAAAGUUACAUGCUAUUUAGAAAUUUAAGGACCUCAGGAAAGCUCUCUUUUUGUCUUGUUCACUCAUGUGUCAAUUGCAUUUCCUCUAAAACUCUUUAAAUAGUGAUUAAAAUCAUUUUAGCUAAAAAACUAAUAGCAUGAUUAAUUUACAGUGGGAAGGUAUGAAUCUGUUUGUAUUACUAACCAAGAUCUGGGAUGUAGAUCAUUUAGAUUUAUAGUCUAGUUUAGUUGGAUCGCCAUACACUUUUGAAUGUGAGUUUCCAUCACCUCUAACCAGCUCUUUUAUCCUUAAAUGGAGGGAACACAAUAAGAUCAUCUGAAAGUACUAGUCAAAGUAAAGUUCGUUAGGAUCACCGCAGAUCCAAAAAAUAGAUACUUACAUCUCAGUAUAUGAUUCAUGGGUAGAAUUUUCCAUGAUUCAUUAAGCAACACAAAAGAAAUAUUUGAUUUGUGCACACUAUCUUAAAAGCAUUUCCAGCAGAUAUAUGGAAAAAUAUUCAAACAUAUAAUGAGAGAAUUAACAGUAAAGUAAACUGUGGAUAUAAUAACUUUUUAGAUCUUAGAGUAUAUGGUAUUAUUAUGCACAUUUGCUAUGCACUACUCUAUAUAUGCUCAUAUCAAAAAAUGUCAAACAGUAUGAUAUCCAUCGACUACAAAGUUAAAUAUACUAUUAUAACAAUUUGAAGCACGAAAUUCUAAAAUUUAGGGGUGUCUGCUUACUUGCUGGGAGUGCUCUAUAUAAAUGAGUUUCUCAUUAAAAUGAAAUUUGAGACAGUAGGUAUACACGUAGACAAUUUAUUAGCUUGCCUCUAAAGAAUGGGAGAGGGUCAAUAUAUUAGCCAAGUCUUAAAGAAUUGGUACGGAAUAUAUCGAAGUCUUUACCUGCUUUUGAAUACCAAGGAGUUAUUUAUUCGAAGUUACUACCUGCUUCCAUAGACAUGGCCAAUCCAAGACCAGUUCAGAUGAAUUUCUCUCCAUCUCUUCCAUCUAUAAAUAGGCAUCUGCUCCAUACAAGAUCUUCAUCCACCUCCAGUUCUCUCUUAUACAGAACUAUAACAUAUACUGAGUAUUGCGAUCACGAUGAUGAAAGGUGCUCAUUUCCCUGCUACAACUGCUGCUUUUGCCCUACUGGCAUUGGCAACCUUCCACCUUGUCUCUGCCUCUGAUCCUAGUUCUCUCCAAGAUUUCUGUGUAGCACUUAAGAACACUGAUGGUAUAUACUAUAUCGUACUGUGGUCACUAUAUUGCUUCCAAUAUNNNNNNNNNNNNNNNNNNNNCCCGGAAACACAUCAAAUGCGGUUGGUUCCAAGGUCACCCCGGCGAAUGUGGAGCAAAUAGCAGGGCUGAACACUCUUGGGAUAUCCCUUGCUCGCAUAGACUAUGCACCAAAUGGCGGACUAAAC
rnacentral:lncRNA from 1 species